rnacentral:rRNA from 1 species
AGGAUAAACGCUGGCGGCGUGCCUAACACAUGCAAGUCGAACGCGCUUUCGGGCUUCGGUGCGAGAGCGAGUGGCGGACGGGUGAGUAACACAUGGGUACCUACCUUGGAGUGAGGGAUACCGGCGAGAAAUCGCCGACAAUACCGCAUAGGCUUCUUCACAAGGGAAGCAAAGUGACGCGAGUCACGCUGUGAGAUGGGCCUGUGGCCGAUUAGCUAGUUGGGGGGUAACGGCUUCCCAAGGCGACGAUCGGUAGCUGGUCUGAGAGGACGAUCAGCCACACUGGGAUUGAGAACGGCCCAGACUCCUACGGGGGGCAGCAGUGAGGAAUUUUCCGCAAUGGAGGCAACUCUGACGGAGCAACGCCGCGUGCAGGAGGAAGGUUUUCGGAUCGUAAACUGCUUUUCUCGGGGACGAGCAAGGACGGUACCCGAGGAAGAAGCCCCGGCUAACUACGUGCCAGCAGCCGC